GCCUUAAUGAUAUCACCCAUAAAGAUCAAUAUAGUCUACCCGGCAUCAAUACCAUUCUAAAAAAGGUCCGUAACAGCUGUAUAUUCUCUAAAUUUGAUCUAAAGAGUGGUUUUCACCAGGUAGCCAUGCAUCUUGAUUCAAUAGAAUGGACAGCAUUUUGGGUGUCUGACGGAUUAUAUGAAUGGCUCGUAAUGCCUUUUGGGUUAAAAAAUGCACCUACAGUAUUUCAGAGAAAGAUAGAUCUAUGCUUUAAAGGAACAGAAGAAUUUAUAGCAGUUUAUAUUGAUGAUAUACUGGUAUUCUCUCUAGAUAAAAGAACCCACGAACAGCAUCUAAGGCAAAUGCUUCAUAUUUGCCAAUUAAAUGGGCUGAUCUUAAGCUCGACAAAGAUGAAAAUAGCAGUAAAAGAAAUUGAAUUCCUUGGGGCAAUCAUUGGAAAUUGCAAGAUUAAACUUCAGCCGUAUGUUAUCUCAAAAAUUGCUGAUUUUAAUGACAAUGAUCUCAAAACAACUAAAGGUAUGAGAUCAUGGCUUGGUUUAUUAAAUUAUGCCCGAAAUUAUAUUCCAAAUCUUGGAAAGCUUCUUAGUCCUCUUUAUGCCAAAACAUCACCUAACGGGGAGAAGAGAUUAAACCAGCAAGAUUGGGAUUUAAUACACCAGGUAAAGGAAAAGGUAAAACAGCUCCCAGACUUGGAGAUCCCUCCUUCAGAAUGCUACAUAAUCUUGGAAGUAGAUGGAUGGAUGGGGAGGAAUAUGCAAAUGGAAAAAACAGAAAUUCGAUCCUAUAUCUUCAGAAAAAAUUUGUGCGUAUUCCAGUGGAAAAUUUAAUCCUCCAAAAUCCACUAUUGAUGCAGAAAUUUAUGCAGUAAUGAAUACCAUGGAAGCCUUGAAGAUUUACUUCCUUGACAAAUCAAGAGCUUCUCAUCAGAACAGAUUGCCAGGCCAUAAUUAGUUUCUUUGGCAAAACUUCUAACCAUAAACCAUCUCGGGUCAGGUGGUUAGCAUUUACUGAUUAUAUAACGGGAGCCGGACCAAAUGUUCAAUUUGAGCAUAUUGAUGGAAGAAACAAUCAGGUAGCAGACUCCUUGUCCUGACUAAUAACUGUGUUAAUUUUUACAGAAUGGCCAGAACAGGACCUCGACAAGCUAGCCAUGGUAGCACCAGCAAUCAAAGAACUCCAGGAGCAUCCCAAUCUGAAGGUUCAGAAGACGUUGAGCAAGACCCUUUGGACCCUCUCGACUUCGCUAGACAAUACCAACAGACAAUUAACAAACGUCAUGGCCGGCCCAUCUCUCUUGACGAAUUCCAUCAAAUCACAGAAGAGCUACAUCAGCUGGAACAGCAACGCGAGCCAUUAAUGCAGUCCACCAGCUCAGACUUAUCCAUUCACUAAAGCGACAAGAAUGCAACAGGAGUAGGGGACAUGAUAACUGGUGGAAUAACUAGUAUCCUACAGUAGAACAGUGUGAUAAUCAACUUUCCCAGUCAGCAUAUCUUCUCCAAGAUUGCGUCUCACGAAUGAAGAAUUUUAAAGUAUAAAAGCAGCAAGCAUGAUGGACCCUGAUCUCCAUAAAGUUACUUUCUCGUGACCAGAUAAUAUCAGCUUUAUGUAAAGUAGUGGAGUGCUUUAAAAGAUUCCCUUAGAAAGGAAUCAUCUUUAUGUAAAGUAGUAGAGUGCUUUCAGCUUUAUGUAAAGUAGUGGAGUGCUUUAAAGAUUCCCUUUGAUAAGGGAGUCCUUCAGAGAUUACUUCUGAGCUAUAUCAAACGUGCCGAUGGGGCCCCAUGUGUACCCGGCGUUUGCUAUAUAAGAAUGUGAUCUCUCCUCUUGCAAGGCAUCAAACAUCCACUUGAGCCUUACCUGAGGUUUCUCUGUAAAAUUCAGCUUGAAUCUAAGUUUCUGGUUCCCUUCUUUCUCUUUUUCUUCUCCGCUAGACACACUCUUGUUGUUUCGGCAUGUUGGUAUUAUGCAACCUUGAGAAACAAAAGGAUAGACUCUAACUUGGCAAUAGAAAAGGCAGAAGGCCUUAAUUAAAGUCCAAGGGCACGUCUAUAUGAGGUUCUUUGGGAAGGAACUGCCCUCGCCGGAGCUCCAAGAGUCCCUAAAGGAAAACAUGGUAUUUUCAGACCAGGAUUUAGUCAUACCGAAGCCGAAUACAAAGGUCCGUGCAAAGGAGAAUCAAGAAGAAUAUAGCCUACAAGAAAUGCAAUGAUUUCCACAUCUGGUUCCACACUGAUAAAUCUAAAUCCCAAGUCAGAUGGUGCCAGGUUUUGAAAUUGUACUCGGCCAAUGUACUCUCUCACUUCUUUUUCUGACGCCUCUCAGAUAUCUGUAUCAUAGGAUUGCAAAGAGCUCCACCAAGCCAAAGAAGGCGAUGAGUGGAUCCUCCAAGAGCGUAUGUGUGCGCGAAUAGCAAAAUUUACGAGGUGACGGAUUGGUUCGUCUGUCAGUGCUUCUUGGCUUACAUCAUAGACUGCUUCACAACCAAAAUGAUCUCACAACUUAAACCUUUUGGUUCGAAACCAACAUCUCCACUCCGAGCGAGAGCCCUUCGCCCGACAGCGGCAAUGACUCCUCCAAGAACAGCAGGGCAAAGAGGAAAAAGAAAGGGAAGAGCAAAACAGGUUAGCUUUACAAAUUGUAUUAUAAGUGAAUUAUCAUUCGAGUUAAUAAAAUAUAGAUAUACAAAAAUAGUUAUAUCUUCUUUAAAAAAAAAUUGUAAGGCUCUAAAUAAUUAAAUUAUCUUCAUAAAUUAUUUUAAAUUA